rnacentral:rRNA from 1 species
ACAAAAACAUGUCUUUUUGAGAAUAAUUUAAAGUCUAAUCUGCCCACUGAUAUAAAUUAAAGGGCUGCAGUAUUUUGACUGUACAAAGGUAGCAUAAUCAAUAGUUUUUUAAUUGGAAACUUGUAUGAAAGAUUUGAUGAAAUAUAAACUGUCUCAUAUUUAUUAUUAAAACUUUAUUUUUUAGUUAAAAAGCUAAAAUAAUUUUAAAAGACGAGAAGACCCUAUAGAGUUUUAUAUUUUUAUUUUAUUAAAAAAUUAUAUUAAAAUUAAAUUUAAAAUAAUUAAAAAUAUUGUAUUGGGGUGAUAAAAAAAUAAAAUUAACUUUUUUAAAUAUAAAAUAUAAAUAAGUAAAUAAUUGAUCCAUAAAUAAUGAUUAAAAGAAAAAAUUACCUUAGGGAUAACAGCGUAAUAUUUUUUUUUAGUUCAUAUAAAAAAAAAAGUUUGCGACCUCGAUGUUGGAUUAAGAUAAAAUUUAAAUGCAAAAGUUUAAAAUUUU